rnacentral:rRNA from 1 species
ACACUCCUACGGGAGGCAGCAGUGGGGAAUUUUGGACAAUGGGCGAAAGCCUGAUCCAGCAAUGCCGCGUGAGUGAAGAAGGCCUUCGGGUUGUAAAGCUCUUUUGUCAGGGAAGAAACGGUGAAAGCUAAUAUCUUUUGCUAAUGACGGUACCUGAAGAAUAAGCACCGGCUAACUACGUGCCAGCAGCCGCGGUAAUACGUAGGGUGCAAGCGUUAAUCGGAAUUACUGGGCGUAAAGCGUGCGCAGGCGGUUUUGUAAGUCUGAUGUGAAAUCCCCGGGCUCAACCUGGGAAUUGCAUUGGAGGCUGCAAGGCUAGAAUCUGGCAGAGGGGGGUAGAAUUCCACGUGUAGCAGUGAAAUGCGUAGAUAUGUGGAGGAACACCGAUGGCGAAGGCAGCCCCCUGGGUCAAGAUUGACGCUCAUGCACGAAAGCGUGGGGAGCAAACAGGAUUAGAUACCCGGGUAGUCCCA